AAACUUUCAACAACGGAUCUCUUGGUUCUGGCAUCGAAUGAAGAACGAGCGAAAUGCGAUAAGUAAUGUGAAUUGCAGAAUUCAGUGAAUCAUCGACAUCUUUGAACCACAUUGCGCCCUCUGGUAUUCCGGAGGGCAUGCCUGUUCGAGCGUCAUGU
rnacentral:rRNA from 1 species